GACGAACGCUGGCGGCGCGCUUAACACAUGCAAGUCGAACGGAAAGGCCUGCUUUCCCUUGUGGAUUGCGGGUACUCGAGUGGCGAACGGGUGAGUAACACGUGAGUGAUCUUCCCCCAACUUGGGUAUAAGCCUGGGAAACUGGGUCUAAUUCCCGAUAGGACUGCAGGGUGGUGCCUGUGGUGGAAAACGAUUUUCUAGUGGUUGGGGAUGAGCUCGCGGCCUAUCAGCUUGUUGGUGGGGUAAUGGCCUACCAAGGCGGCGACGGGUAGCCGGCCUGAGAGGGUGGACGGGCACAUUGGGACUGAGAUACGGCCCAGACUCAUACGGGAGGCAGCAGUGGGGAAUAAUGCACAAUGGGCGGAAGCAUGAUGCAGCGACGCCGCGUGGGGGAUGACGGCCUUCGGGUUGUAAACUCCUUUCGACCGCGAGGAAGCCACCUGGUUGGAAGGGUGGUGACGGUAGUGGUAGAAGAAGCACCGGCUAACUACGUG
rnacentral:rRNA from 1 species